rnacentral:rRNA from 1 species
GAUGAACGCUGGCGGCGUGCCUAACACAUGCAAGUCGAACGAGAUGCGUAUUGGAAAGCUUCGGCCUGAAGAUGCGUUAUCUAGUGGCGGACGGGUGAGUAACACGUUGGUAACCUGCCUUAUGGAGGGGGAUAACAGAGAGACAUCACUGCUAAUACCGCAUAAUCACACAUUGCCGCAUUGCAGAGUGUGAAAAGAUUUAUCGCCAUAAGAUGGAGCCGCGUCUGAUUAUCCAGUUGGCAGGGUAAAAGCCUACCAAAGCAACGAUCAGUAGCCGAUCGGGGAGGAGGAACGGCCAAAGUGGGAAUGAGACACGGCCGAAACUCAUACGGGAGGAAGCAGUGGGGAAUAUUGCACAAUGGGGGAAACACGGAUGCAGCGACGCCGGGUGAGUGAAGAAGUAGUUCGGUAUGUAAAGCUCUAUCAGCAGGGAAGAUAAUGACAGUAGCUGACUAAGAAGCCCCGGCUAACUACGUG